CCUACGGGUGGCAGCAGUGAGGAAUAUUGGUCAAUGGACGAGAGUCUGAACCAGCCAAGUAGCGUGAAGGAUGACUGCCCUAUGGGUUGUAAACUUCUUUUAUAUGGGAAUAAAAUCUUCCACGUGUGUCAUUCUGUAUGUACCAUAUGAAUAAGGAUCGGCUAACUCCGUGCCAGCAGCCGCGGUAAUACGGAGGAUCCGAGCGUUAUCCGGAUUUAUUGGGUUUAAAGGGAGCGUAGGUGGAUUGUUAAGUCAGUUGUGAAAGUUUGCGGCUCAACCGUAGAAUUGCAGUUGAAACUGGUAGUCUUGAGUACAGUAGAGGUGGGCGGAAUGCGUGGUGUAGCGGUGAAAUGCUUAGAUAUCACGAAGAACUCCGAUUGCGAAGGCAGCUUACUGGACUGCAACUGACACUGAGGCACGAAAGUGUGGGGAGCAAACAGGAUUAGAUACCCUUGUAGUC
rnacentral:rRNA from 1 species